rnacentral:rRNA from 1 species
AUCUGGGCGGCGAAAUUCAGAAUGACUGGCUGGACUCGUUCCUGUCUGGUCGUUUGAUAUUUUCGUCGCUGUAUCAGACGUCGCGAUCUGUUUGUUGUUGGUCCCUGCUCGGAGGAGUUGCAAUCGAGUUUGUUGUUGAUGCGUUUCGGCGUGUCAUACGGCAAAGAUGCGAAUCUCUGGCUGACAACGGACAGUAAACAAUGGUGACUGACGCCGUGUCGCGUACGCGGUGUUGGUACCGAUCUGCGACGAUCUCUUCGGGCCUCUUUCCGACCCGUCUUGAAACACGGACCAAGGAGUCUAACAUGCGCGCGAGUCGCGGGGUAUCGAGCGCACUACGGUGCGUUCGUUCAUUAUGAAACCCGUGCUUGAAGGCGUAAUGAAAGUGAACAGGGAAGAUGGUGUUCCGAGUAUACGUACCGUGAGAUUUCGCGGCCGGACACCCGCAUUCCCGGGGCGUCUCAAUGGCUCAUCGCGAAUGCGGACUGUCGUCUUUCGGGGCGAUAGUCGGUUUGCGAUGGUCCGA